rnacentral:rRNA from 1 species
GUGGGGAAUAUUGCGCAAUGGGGGAAACCCUGACGCAGCAACGCCGCGUGAUUGAAGAAGGCCUUCGGGUUGUAAAGAUCUUUAAUUCGGGACGAAAAAAAUGACGGUACCGAAAGAAUAAGCUCCGGCUAACUACGUGCCAGCAGCCGCGGUAAUACGUAGGGAGCAAGCGUUAUCCGGAUUUACUGGGUGUAAAGGGCGCGCAGGCGGGCUUGCAAGUUGGGAGUGAAAUCCCGGGGCUCAACCCCGGAACUGCUUUCAAAACUGUGAGUCUUGAGUGAUGGAGAGGCAGGCGGAAUUCCCAGUGUAGCGGUGAAAUGCGUAGAUAUCCGGAGGAACACCGGUGGCGAAGGCGGCCACCUGGACAGGUACUGACGCUGAGGCGCGAAAGCGUGGGGAGCAAACAGGAUUAGAUACCCGAGUAGUCC